GACGAACGCUGGCGGCGUGCCUAAUACAUGCAAGUAGAACGCAGUUGCGGACGGGUGAGUAACGCGUAGGUAACGGCCGCAUAGCGGGGGAUAACAAUUGGAAACGAUAGCUAAUACCGAAUACUGUGAGAUGGACGUGCGUUGUGUUUGCUAGUUGGUGGGGUAAAGGCUCACAAAGGCGACGAUACAUAGCCGACCUGAGCGGGGUAUCGGACCCACUGGGACCGGGACACGGGCCCGACUCCUGCGGGGGGCAGCGGGAGGGAGUCUUCGGCAAUGGAGGGAAGUCUGACCGAGCAACGCCGCGUGAGUGAAGAGGGUUUUCGGGGCGUGUAGCUCUGUUGUUAGAGAAGCGGUAACUAACCAAAAAGGGACGGCUAACUACGUGCCAGCAGCCGCGGUAAUUC
rnacentral:rRNA from 1 species